CCUACGGGAGGCUGCAGUGGGGGAUAUUGCACAAUGGGGGGAACCCUGAUGCAGCGACGCCGCGUGGGUGAAGGAGCGUUUCGGCGCGUAAAGCCCUAUCGGCAGGGAAGAAGAUGACGGUACCUGCCCAAGAAGCCCCGGCUAACUACGUGCCAGCAGCCGCGGUAAUACGUAGGGGGCAAGCGUUAUCCGGAUUUACUGGGUGUAAAGGGGGCGCAGACGGCAAUGCAAGACAGGAGUGAAAGCCCGGGGCCCAACACCGGGACUGCUUUUGGAAAUGUUGAACUGGAGUUCAGGAGAGGUAAGCGGAAGUCCUAGUGUAGCGGUGAAAUGCGUAGAUAUUAGGAGGAACACCAGUGGCGAAGGCGGCUUACGGGACUGUAACUGACGUUGAGGCUCGAAAGCGUGGGGAGCAAACAGGAUUAGAUACCCUAGUAGUC
rnacentral:rRNA from 1 species